UCUCCAAAGCUGUCAUGGAAAUGGACCAUUAAAGUAAAUGUCAUACCCAAUGGCAGUGCCAUCAAUGCCUCAUAGUUGUGAGUGUGGAAAACUGGGUUCAUGGAUAUUCUCAGCUUUUUACUUCAGCAUUAGAAGUAACCAGUGGUGAUGCAUUGUCAGAGAGGAACAGUUAAAACAAGUAGAUUAUCAAGCAAACCAUCUAAAGUGCUUGAGAGAUAAGAGGGUGCAACAAAUCAAAAUAGAACUUACUUUAAGGAAACAAUCUGAGAUGCUGCAUGAAGGUUUAAGUCCAUGAAAGUAAAGUAUUUAGCUGGAAAGUACUUUUUGGAAGUAUCCAAAACUCUGA